rnacentral:rRNA from 1 species
UAGGGGCAUGUGCACGCUUCACUAGAUCUUUCAACCACCUGUGAACUUUUGAUAGAUCUGUGAAGUCGUCUCUCAAGUCGUCAGACUUGGUUGCUGGGAUUUAAACGUCUCGGUGUGACUACGCAGUCUAUUUACUUACACACCCCAAAUGUAUGUCUACGAAUGUCAUUUAAUGGGCCUUGUGCCUUUAAACCAUAAUACAACUUUCAACAACGGAUCUCUUGGCUCUCGCAUCGAUGAAGAACGCAGCGAAAUGCGAUAAGUAAUGUGAAUUGCAGAAUUCAGUGAAUCAUCGAAUCUUUGAACGCACCUUGCGCCCCUUGGUAUUCCGAGGGGCAUGCCUGUUUGAGUGUCAUUAAAUUCUCAAACUCACUUUGGUUUCUUUCCAAUUGUGAUGUUUGGAUUGUUGGGGGCUGCUGGCCUUGACAGGUCGGCUCCUCUUAAAUGCAUUAGCAGGACUUCUCAUUGCCUCUGCGCAUGAUGUGAUAAUUAUCACUCAUCAAUAGCACGCAUGAAUAGAGUCCAGCUCUCUAAUCGUCCGCAAGGACAAUUUGACAAUUUGACCUCAAAUCAGGUAGGACUACCCGCUGAACUUAAGCAUAUCAAUA